rnacentral:rRNA from 1 species
CCUACGGGAGGCAGCAGUGGGGGAUAUUGUACAAUGGGGGAAACCCUGAUGCAGCGACGCCGCGUGGGUGAAGAAGUAUUUCGGUAUGUAAAGCCCUAUCAGCAGGGAAGAAAGAAGACGGUACCUGACUAAGAAGCCCCGGCUAACUACGUGCCAGCAGCCGCGGUAAUACGUAGGGGGCGAGCGUUAUCCGGAUUCACUGGGUGUAAAGGGAGCGUAGACGGCCGUGCAAGCCAGGAGUGAAAGCCCGGGGCCCAACCCCGGGACUGCUCUUGGAACUGUGCGGCUGGAGUGCGGGAGGGGCAGGCGGAAUUCCUGGUGUAGCGGUGAAAUGCGUAGAUAUCAGGAGGAACACCGGCGGCGAAGGCGGCCUGCUGGACCGCGACUGACGUUGAGGCUCGAAAGCGUGGGGAGCGAACAGGAUUAGAUACCCGGGUAGUC